rnacentral:lncRNA from 1 species
ACCGAAUAUGUCAUUCACCAACAGCUGCCAUGGCUUUUUUUUUUUGAACCGACACAGUUGUCAUGGCUUAUCAACCAAACAUAUUGUUAUAAUGUAUACAAAUAUACUACAUCUAAAUAAAAAUUAUAUAUACUUGUCAUUUUCACUAUUAUUUCAAUGCUCCAACAGCGAUGUAUAUUCCAUAACAGAAGAAAAAAUGGUCUAGUCAGGUCGAAUUCAUGCAAAAAAAAAAAUUAUGCUGGAAUUGGUCGUAUUUAAAUCCUCAGCGUGGCACCAGUCCUAGAGAAACAUCGAAAACAGGUGCAGGACAUCAGAGAUUUGCUGGCCACUGGAAUCAGCGCAGCUGGGAUGGGCUCAACAGCGACGCCCCCCAUGCAUGUCCCAACCAGGAAAGCACUGGCCCCUAAUGGCGCCAAUGAACCGAGGUCAGCCUCCGACUCCGACUCCACCGCCGCGGAUGACGCCGAGCUGAUGAGCAUCGUCGUUAGGGGAUGGAGUGGAUGGUGAUGCGGCCAACCACUAUGCUCUCUGUUUGGUGUGCACGCCCUCUGUGUUUAGGGCUUUGGGGUUUGGCCUCUUGUGUGUCCCGGCUCCUGCACUACUGCCUGCCAAAAAGAUUGCCCUUGGACUAUGCUCUCUGUUUCCUGCAAGAAGGAAAAGGAAAUUACGGAUUUGCUGGGAUUUUCUGCAAAAGGAAAAGGACGCCGGCGUUAUCAGCGCUUACGCGAGCCAAGGUCUUGGAAGAGGAUGAUGGUGGAGUCAGUAAGGGAAGAUUGAGCUGGGGCGCUGGUUUUUCCAUUGGCAUUCAGUCCAAGUUCACACUCCCAUCUGACAGAGUUGUGCUAUGCUCGCGUAACAGGCUGUCUAUCUGGACCGCCAUGGCAACAUGUCAUUGCCACUUUGCCAGCCAUCCAUCCACCUAGUUGUACAGGCAUGAGCUAACUACUCCAUGCUUUAUGCAUCUAAAUGGAAGAUUAUGCCUCAUGUCUGCCAGCUUAAAUGUUGGUCCUGCAGACCCAAUGCCUAAGAUAUGUGGCUAGGACCCAUGCCUAAAAUAUGUGGCCAAUUUGCAAGAUCCAUAAAGUUUUUUAUGUAGCUUUCCUGCUAGGAAUGCAACAAGAAAUAACUUAUAUAGGUCACGAGGGAAACAUCAUACAGACUGCUGACCAAGAUCCCUACACGCAUUACCUAAAACAAAUUUCAGCAACUCUAGCAAAAAAAAAAAAGAUCUCCAUAAGCAUGAAUUCAGUAUCAACCUAGUCAGUUUGUGUCCAUGUAAAUUAGUGGCCCCCUUCCAUUUAAUAAUGGUUUGCAUCGAAAGCAACUGCAGGACUCUGCAGAAAUUCUAUUACCUACCAAUACCAUUAACCUACACUACAAUUCAUCUCU